rnacentral:lncRNA from 1 species
GAAUACUGCUCUCUGGAGGAGUGUGAAAAUUAAUUCUACUUACCUUUAAGCACCCACUGGAGGAAGUCUCUAAUCACAGUGCCUCUAGAAAGUUCAAUGGUUAUCCAAGUCUUGAAUCAAAUUGAUGCCAGAAUUCGGUUUGAACUAAUGUGAUAUAUAGUUCACUGAAAUUUUUACCAGCUGCUGAGUUGGGAAUAUUGAAGCAAAAAAUAGAAGCAAGCUGAGGUGGAGUCCUGGGAAAGCAUGAACAGGAUGCAGAAAUUCAGGAAAUGGAGCCAAAAUGGAGCCAAAAUGGAGCUGCGGGCUAGCCAGGCUCAGCUUCCAGGUUAGCAGAGAAGGAGAUGACAAAUUGGAGUGUGAUAAAGUAGCCCUGAACCUGUUUGAAGACAGAAGGGGGAAAAAAGAAGUCCAUGAAACACAGGAUGGAGGACACCAGAGGAAUGAAAGGGUAAUGAUUAAGAUUUACUUGUUCCUCAAACAGCUUGUAGAUAUAGUGGUGCCUUCAACCACAACAAUAAAGCCUAGUGGAAGAAUUUCAGGAAGAGUAGCAUGUUUCUAAAAGCCGUGCUCAUUUGCACCAACUCAAAUAAAAAAUCUACUUUUCCUUUCCA